CCUACGGGUGGCUGCAGUGGGGAAUAUUGCACAAUGGGCGCAAGCCUGAUGCAGCCAUGCCGCGUGUGUGAAGAAGGCCUUCGGGUUGUAAAGCACUUUCAGCGGGGAGGAAGGCGGUGAGGUUAAUAACCUCAUCGAUUGACGUUACCCGCAGAAGAAGCACCGGCUAACUCCGUGCCAGCAGCCGCGGUAAUACGGAGGGUGCAAGCGUUAAUCGGAAUUACUGGGCGUAAAGCGCACGCAGGCGGUCUGUCAAGUCGGAUGUGAAAUCCCCGGGCUCAACCUGGGAACUGCAUUCGAAACUGGCAGGCUAGAGUCUUGUAGAGGGGGGUAGAAUUCCAGGUGUAGCGGUGAAAUGCGUAGAGAUCUGGAGGAAUACCGGUGGCGAAGGCGGCCCCCUGGACAAAGACUGACGCUCAGGUGCGAAAGCGUGGGGAGCAAACAGGGUUAGAUACCCGGGUAGUC
rnacentral:rRNA from 1 species